CCAGAAGAGACCCUAACCGGUCCUCUCAACCCUGCCAUCAUCGUACCCUUUGUGUUGUUCCCUCGGCGAGGCUUUUCAAGCCCGCCGGCGGGAAGAUCAACGAUAACUCUUUGCAAGCAAGCAUCCUGAAACCUCUGAUCGAAUACAAUUGUCA
rnacentral:misc_RNA from 1 species